ACUCCGUACGGGAGGCAGCAGGGAUUGGGGAAUAAUUGGCACAAAUGGGCGCAAGCUGAUGCAGCCAUGCCGCGUGUGUGAAGAAGGCCUUCGGGUUGUAAAGCACUUUCAGUCGUGAGGAAGGUAGUGUAGUUAAUAGCUGCAUUAUUUGACGUUAGCGACAGAAGAAGCACCGGCUAACUCCGUGCCAGCAGCCGCGGUAAUACGGAGGGUGCGAGCGUUAAUCGGAAUUACUGGGCGUAAAGCGCAUGCAGGUGGUUUGUUAAGUCAGAUGUGAAAGCCCGGGGCUCAACCUCGGAAUUGCAUUUGAAACUGGCAGACUAGAGUACUGUAGAGGGGGGUGAGAAUUCAGGUGUAGCGGUGAAAUGCGUAGAGAUCUGAAGGAAUACCGGUGGCGAAGGCGGCCCCUGGACAGAUACUGACACUCAGAUGCGAAAGCGUGGGAGCAAACAGGA
rnacentral:rRNA from 1 species